UGCGCAGGCGGCUUCGCAAGUCAGACGUGAAAUCCCCGGGCUUAACCUGGGAAUGGCGUUUGAAACUACGGAGCUGGAGUGUGGCAGAGGGAGGUAGAAUUCCACGUGUAGCGGUGAAAUGCGUAGAUAUGUGGAGGAAUACCGAUGGCGAAGGCAGCCUCCUGGGCCAACACUGACGCUCAUGCACGAAAGCGUGGGGAGCAAACAGGAUUAGAUACCCUGGUAGUCCACGCCCUAAACUAUGUCAACUAGUUGUUGGGGGAGUUAAAUCCCUUAGUAACGCAGCUAACGCGUGAAGUUGACCGCCUGGGGAGUACGGUCGCAAGAUUAAA
rnacentral:rRNA from 1 species